UUUUGGAGUUUCGUUGUUCAUUUUUGUACCACAAAAUUCCUUUUGAAAUCUGCAAAAUUAGUUCCUUGUCAGCUGAGUCUGAGUCUGUCAGCAAAAUUUAGAGUGGAGAUCAGGCUCAGAGCUUUUCCGCUGGCUGCACAUUUGCUUACCGUUUUGUCCUCAACUUGUUUACAUUAUUCA